AUACGGGGGGUGCAAGCGUUAAUCGGAAUUACUGGGCGUAAAGCGCGCGUAGGCGGUUUGCUCAGUCGGAUGUGAAAGCCCAGGGCUCAACCUUGGAACUGCAUACGAUACUGGCGAACUAGAGUGUGAGAGAGGAUAGUGGAAUUUCCGGUGUAGCGGUGAAAUGCGUAGAUAUCGGAAGGAACAUCAGUGGCGAAGGCGACUGUCUGGCUCAACACUGACGCUGAGGUGCGAAAGCGUGGGUAGCAAACAGGAUUAGAAACCCUAGUAGUCC
rnacentral:rRNA from 1 species